UACGUAGGGGGCAAGCGUUGUCCGGAUUUAUUGGGCGUAAAGAGCGUGUAGGCGGCCAGGGAGGUCCGUUGUGAAAACUCGAGGCUCAACCUCGAGACGCCGAUGGAAACCCCCUGGCUAGAGUCCGGAAGAGGAGAAUGGAAUUCCCGGUGUAGCGGUGAAAUGCGCAGAUAUCGGGAAGAACACCCGUGGCGAAGGCGGUUCUCUGGGACGGUACUGACGCUGAGACGCGAAAGCGUGGGGAGCGAACAGG
rnacentral:rRNA from 1 species